GCUAGCUACAGGCUUAACACAUGCAAGUCGAGGGGCAGCAUCAUCAAAGCUUGCUUUGAUGGAUGGCGACCGGCGCACGGGUGAGUAACACGUAUCCAACCUGCCGACAACACUGGGAUAGCCUUUCGAAAGAAAGAUUAAUACCGGAUGGCAUAGUUUUCCCGCAUGGGAUAAUUAUUAAAGAAUUUCGGUUGUCGAUGGGGAUGCGUUCCAUUAGGCAGUUGGCGGGGUAACGGCCCACCAAACCAACGAUGGAUAGGGGUUCUGAGAGGAAGGUCCCCCACAUUGGAACUGAGACACGGUCCAAACUCCUACGGGAGGCAGCAGUGAGGAAUAUUGGUCAAUGGACGAGAGUCUGAACCAGCCAAGUAGCGUGAAGGAUGACUGCCCUAUGGGUUGUAAACUUCUUUUAUACGGGAAUAAAGUUAGCCACGUGUGGCUUUUUGUAUGUACCGUAUGAAUAAGGAUCGGCUAACUCCAUGCCAGCAGCCGCGGUAAUACGGAGGAUCCGAGCGUUAUCCGGAUUUAUUGGGUUUAAAGGGAGCGUAGGCGGGUUGUUAAGUCAGUUGUGAAAGUUUGCGGCUCAACCGUAAAAUUGCAGUUGAUACUGGCGACCUUGAGUGCAACAGAGGUAGGCGGAAUUCGUGGUGUAGCGGUGAAAUGCUUAGAUAUCACGAAGAACUCCGAUUGCGAAGGCAGCUUACUGGAUUGUAACUGACGCUGAUGCUCGAAAGUGUGGGUAUCAAACAGGAUUAGAUACCCUGGUAGUCCACACAGUAAACGAUGAAUACUCGCUGUUGGCGAUAUACGGUCAGCGGCCAAGCGAAAGCAUUAAGUAUUCCACCUGGGGAGUACGCCGGCAACGGUGAAACUCAAAGGAAUUGACGGGGGCCCGCACAAGCGGAGGAACAUGUGGUUUAAUUCGAUGAUACGCGAGGAACCUUACCCGGGCUUAAAUUGCAACUGACUGAACCGGAAACGGUUCUUUCUUCGGACAGUUGUGAAGGUGCUGCAUGGUUGUCGUCAGCUCGUGCCGUGAGGUGUCGGCUUAAGUGCCAUAACGAGCGCAACCCUUACGGGUAGUUACCAUCAGGUUAUGCUGGGGACUCUACCCGGACUGCCGUCGUAAGAUGUGAGGAAGGUGGGGAUGACGUCAAAUCAGCACGGCCCUUACGUCCGGGGCUACACACGUGUUACAAUGGGGGGUACAGAAGGCAGCUACACGGCGACGUGGUGCUAAUCCCGAAAGCCUCUCUCAGUUCGGAUUGGAGUCUGCAACCCGACUCCAUGAAGCUGGAUUCGCUAGUAAUCGCGCAUCAGCCACGGCGCGGUGAAUACGUUCCCGGGCCUUGUACACACCGCCCGUCAAGCCAUGAAAGCCGGGGGUACCUGAAGUACGUAACCGCGAGGAGCGUCCUAGGGUAAAACUGGUGAUUGGGGCU
rnacentral:rRNA from 1 species